rnacentral:rRNA from 1 species
GUAAGGAAUAUUGGACAAUGGACGCAAGUCUGAUCCAGCCAUGCCGCGUGAAGGAUUAAGGUCCUCUGGAUUGUAAACUUCUUUUAUAAGGGACGAAAAAAGGCUUUUCUAAGUCGUCUGACGGUACCUUAUGAAUAAGCACCGGCUAACUCCGUGCCAGCAGCUGCGGUAAUACGGAGGGUGCAAGCGUUAUCCGGAUUCACUGGGUUUAAAGGGUGCGUAGGCGGGCAGGUAAGUCAGUGGUGAAAUCCUAGAGCUUAACUCUAGAACUGCCAUGGAUACUAUCUGUCUUGAAUAUUGUGGAAGUAAGCGGAAUAUGGCAUGUAGCGGUGAAAUGCUUAGAUAUGACAUAGAACACCUAAUGCGAAGGCAGCUUACUACGCAUAUAUUGACGCUGAGGCACGAAAGCGUGGGGAUCAAACAGGAUUAGAUACCCCGGUAGUCC